rnacentral:ncRNA from 1 species
UAACCUCUGGUUUCUACGAAUGUUG